rnacentral:rRNA from 1 species
UAUGUAGGCGGCCCUUCAAGUCGGGUGUGAAAGCCCUCGGCUCAACCGAGGAACUGCGCCCGAUACUGUGGGGCUUGAGGGAGACAGAGGUAAGCGGAACUGAUGGUGGAGCGGUGAAAUGCGUUGAUAUCAUCAGGAACACCAGUGGCGAAAGCGGCUUACUGGGUCUCUUCUGACGCUGAGAUACGAAAGCUAGGGGAGCGAACGGGAUUAGAUACCCCGGUAGUCCUAGCUGUAAACGAUGAGCACUUGAUCGUGGGGCCCCCCAUAGCCUCUCGGUCGCAGCGAAAGUGGUAAGUGCUCCGCCUGGGGAGUAUGGUCGCAAGGCUGAA